rnacentral:rRNA from 1 species
GAUGGGAGCUUGCUCCCUGAUGUUAGCGGCGGACGGGUGAGUAACACGUGGGUAACCUGCCUGUAAGACUGGGAUAACUCCGGGAAACCGGGGCUAAUACCGGAUGCUUGUUUGAACCGCAUGGUUCAAACAUAAAAGGUGGCUUCGGCUACCACUUACAGAUGGACCCGCGGCGCAUUAGCUAGUUGGUGAGGUAAUGGCUCACCAAGGCAACGAUGCGUAGCCGACCUGAGAGGGUGAUCGGCCACACUGGGACUGAGACACGGCCCAGACUCCUACGGGAGGCAGCAGUAGGGAAUCUUCCGCAAUGGACGAAAGUCUGACGGAGCAACGCCGCGUGAGUGAUGAAGGUUUUCGGAUCGUAAAGCUCUGUUGUUAGGGAAGAACAAGUACCGUUCGAAUAGGGCGGUACCUUGACGGUACCUAACCAGAAAGCCACGGCUAACUACGUGCCAGCAGCCGCGGUAAUACGUAGGUGGCAAGCGUUGUCCGGAAUUAUUGGGCGUAAAGGGCUCGCAGGCGGUUUCUUAAGUCUGAUGUGAAAGCCCCCGGCUCAACCGGGGAGGGUCAUUGGAAACUGGGGAACUUGAGUGCAGAAGAGGAGAGUGGAAUUCCACGUGUAGCGGUGAAAUGCGUAGAGAUGUGGAGGAACACCAGUGGCGAAGGCGACUCUCUGGUCUGUAACUGACGCUGA